UAAACUAGGAUUAGAUACCCUAUUAUUUUAAUAUAUAAAUAUUUUACCUGGGUAUUAAUAGUUAUGUUCUUUAAACCUAAAGAAUUUGGCGGUAUUUUAAGUCUAUUCAGAGGAAUUUGUCCCGUUAUCGAUAAUCCUCGUUUAUAUCUAACUUAAUUUUGAUUGUUUUUAGUUUGUAUACCUCCGUUAAUAAGUUAAUUUUUUUAGAACUAAAAUUUACUUUAUAUUUUAUUUGAUAUUAUUUCAGGUCAAGGUGCAGCUGAUAAUUAAGUGGAGAUGAAUUACAAUAUUUUAUGAAUAUUAUGAAUAUAUAAUUGCAAUAAAAUUUUAUUGAAGGUGGAUUUGAUAGUAAUUUUAUUUAGUUAAAUUUUUUGAUUAUGUAGCUCUAAGAUAAGUACACAUCG
rnacentral:rRNA from 1 species